GCUAUACAUGCAGUAGAACGCUGAAGAGAGGAGCUUGCUCUUCUUGGAUGAGUUGCGAACGGGUGAGUAACGCGUAGGUAACCUGCCUUGUAGCGGGGGAUAACUAUUGGAAACGAUAGCUAAUACCGCAUAACAAUGGAUGACACAUGUCAUUUAUUUGAAAGGGGCAAUUGCUCCACUACAAGAUGGACCUGCGUUGUAUUAGCUAGUAGGUGAGGUAACGGCUCACCUAGGCGACGAUACAUAGCCGACCUGAGAGGGUGAUCGGCCACACUGGGACUGAGACACGGCCCAGACUCCUACGGGAGGCAGCAGUAGGGAAUCUUCGGCAAUGGGGGCAACCCUGACCGAGCAACGCCGCGUGAGUGAAGAAGGUUUUCGGAUCGUAAAGCUCUGUUGUAAGUCAAGAACGAGUGUGAGAGUGGAAAGUUCACACUGUGACGGUAGCUUACCAGAAAGGGACGGCUAACUACGUGCCAGCAGCCGCGGUAAUACGUAGGUCCCGAGCGUUGUCCGGAUUUAUUGGGCGUAAAGCGAGCGCAGGCGGUUUGAUAAGUCUGAAGUUAAAGGCUGUGGCUCAACCAUAGUUCGCUUUGGAAACUGUCAAACUUGAGUGCAGAAGGGGAGAGUGGAAUUCCAUGUGUAGCGGUGAAAUGCGUAGAUAUAUGGAGGAACACCGGUGGCGAAAGCGGCUCUCUGGUCUGUAACUGACGCUGAGGCUCGAAAGCGUGGGGAGCGAACAGGAUUAGAUACCCUGGUAGUCCACGCCGUAAACGAUGAGUGCUAGUGUUGGAUCCUUUCCGGGAUUCAGUGCCGCAGCUAACGCAUUAAGCACUCCGCCUGGGGAGUACGACCGCAAGGUUGAAACUCAAGGAAUUGACGGGGGCC
rnacentral:rRNA from 1 species